GUGCCCGUAGCUCAGCUGGAUAGAGCGUCUGACUACGGAUCAGAAGGCCGGGGGUUCGAAUCCUCCCGGGCACG
rnacentral:tRNA from 2 species